rnacentral:rRNA from 1 species
UACGUAGGUGGCAAGCGUUGUCCGGAUUUACUGGGCGUAAAGAGCGCGCAGGCGGUCGUUCAAGUCGCGUGUGAAAGCCCCCGGCUCAACUGGGGAGGGUCACGCGAUACUGAUCGACUCGAAGGCAGGAGAGGGAAGUGGAAUUCCCGGUGUAGUGGUGAAAUGCGUAGAUAUUGGGAAGAACACCGGUGGCGAAGGCGGCGACCUGGUCCUUGACUGACGCUGAGGAGCGAAAGCGUGGGGAGCGAACAGG